CUAAGGCUUCCUUGUCCCAGGUCCCCAGGCCUAGGACAGUUGCUAUACAGCCUCAUAAACUAACUCAGUUUCCACCUGCUGUGAAGACAAAAUCUACUCCUCACUGAAGUACUACUGAUUGGAUGAUUAACUUUGUUAAAAGCGUUUGGCUUGAACUGAGGUCAUCAGCCUUGGUGCCCAGAGCCUGGAUUCACUACGUCUGCUUAUCAGCCCACUAUACUAUAGCCUCACAUGGAACAGUUCUAAUUCCAGGGAAGACUGGCCUUUCAUAUGUAAAUGACCAUAACUCUUAUUUGGAUAACAACUUGAUUUGUCCUCUUACCUUGGUGUUAGUCUACAUUCCGGUUCGUGGAAACGAAUGGAAAUUCACACUCCUGAAGAUAAUAAGGCUAUACUACUUAAAAAAAAUUUUUAAACAAAGUUAUAUUUUCCACAGGUUCAAAACAUUAUUAGUAAUAGGGGUAGAAAUAAGAGGCCAAAUAUGUGAGAAAACAGGACUCCAUAGAUUUUUUGUUUGCAUGACCAAAUCUCAUUCUUUAUUUUAUAUCAGAAAAAUAAAUGGGAUCCAUGGGGUUGGGGA